AAGGGUGUCAGUGGAGACAUGCUCUGGUGCUGUGUGUUAAACUGUAUCGUUCUAUAACACCUAUAGUUUGAUUCACAGCACAAGAGUUUGCUCUCUAUGCUUCAUC
ensembl:miRNA